UCUGCUACACAGCCAGAGCGUCCGUGAGCCACAAGUGGAUGUCCCGGCUGUGAGUAGCGU
rnacentral:pre_miRNA from 1 species